rnacentral:rRNA from 1 species
CAACUUUCAACAACGGAUCUCUUGGCUCUCGCAUCGAUGAAGAACGCAGCGAAAUGCGAUAAGUAAUGUGAAUUGCAGAAUUCAGUGAAUCAUCGAAUCUUUGAACGCACCUUGCGCUCCUUGGUAUUCCGAGGAGCAUGCCUGUUUGAGUGU